rnacentral:tRNA from 1 species
UCCCAGGUAGCUCAGCGGGUAAAGAAUCUGCCUGCAAGGCAGGAGAUGCAGGUUCGAUCCCUGGGUUGGGAA